rnacentral:rRNA from 1 species
UACGUAGGGCGCAAGCGUUAUCCGGAAUUAUUGGGCGUAAAGAGCUCGUAGGCGGUUUGUCGCGUCGAAUGUGAAAACCCGGGGCUCAACCCCGGGCCUGCAUUCGAUACGGGCAGACUAGAGUUCGGUAGGGGAGUCUGGAAUUCCUGGUGUAGCGGUGAAAUGCGCAGAUAUCAGGAGGAACACCGAUGGCGAAGGCAGGUCUCUGGGCCGAUACUGACGCUGAGGAGCGAAAGCGUGGGGAGCGAACAGG